rnacentral:tRNA from 1 species
GGAGAGAUGGCCGAGUGGUUGAAGGCACACGCCUGGAGAGCGUGUGAGGGGGUAACUCCUCCGUGGGUUCGAAUCCCACUCUCUCCGCCA